AGAGAAUCUUAAGCUUCAAGGAGUUCGAUAUGCAUAUUGAGUACACCAGUUUGCAGGUGGUUUUGAUGCAGAGGCUAUACAAGCAUUUGAAAAAUUAAAGAAGGCCUGAUUGGAUAGUGAAAAAUGAUUGCAUGCGUUGCAAAACACCCCGUACAAGUUAGAAUAUUGAAACUUUUUAGUGCUAUAUUAUAAAUCCACUGGCAAGUGAAGUAUCCUUACUAGUUUAUUCAUGUUAGUUUUUCAAUGAUUACAUAUAUGGGUAUAUAUUUUAGACAAGGGUAAGUUCCAUUGGUUGCCAACUUGAGUACAAACAUAAGUUCCAUUGAUUGCCAACCUGGGCACCAAACUCUAUGAUAAUACACGAUCAAUGCUGUGGCAAACUUGGUAACCUUAAAGCUGAUGAAGCGAAUCCUUCCUAUCUUUUUGGUA